UAGAAGAAAGUAAUAAAGAGUACACGGGGGAUGCCUUGGCUCUCAGAGGCGAUGAAGGACGUGAUAAGCUGCGAUAAGCUUCGGGUAUUUGCAAAUAGGAAUUGAUCCGAAGAUUUCCGAAUGGGGCAACCCGGCAUGUUGAAGACAUGUCACAUAUAAUGAGCAAACCUGCCGAACUGAAACAUCUAAGUAAGCAGAGGAAGAGAAAAUAACAAUGAUUUCCUGAGUAGUGGCGAGCGAAAGGGAAAGAGCCCAAACCUACUUUGUUACGGCAAAGUGGGGGUUGUAGGACUGCAAUAUGGCAUUAGCAAACAGAAGUGGAACGGGAUGGGAAUCCCGGCGAUACAAGGUGAUAGCCCUGUACACGUAUAGAAUGCUAGCUUAGCAGUAUCCUGAGUACCGCGAGGUCGGAGACGCCUUGUGGGAAUCUGCCGGCACCAUCCGGUAAGGCUAAAUACUCCUGAGAGACCGAUAGUGAACCAGUACCGUGAGGGAAAGGUGAAAAGAACCCCGAACAGGGGAGUGAAAUAGAACCUGAAACCGUGUACUUACAAGCGGUCGGAGCAUCCAAGUGGUGUGACGGCGUGCCUUUUGCAUAAUGAGCCUACGAGUUACUCCUCUCUGGCAAGGUUAAGUGCUUCAGGCACGGAUCCGAAGCGAAAGCGAGUCUGAAUAGGGCGUAUAGUCAGAGGGGGUAGACGCGAAACCUUGUGAUCUACCCAUGGACAGGUUGAAGGUGCGGUAACACGUACUGGAGGACCGAACCGAUAAACGUUGAAAAGUUUCCGGAUGAUCUGUGGGUAGGGGUGAAAGGCUAAUCAAACUGGGAAAUAGCUCGUACUCCCCGAAAUGUUUUUAGGAACAGCGUGGAUAUUAAGUUUCAUAGAGGUAGAGCUACUGAUUGGGUGCGGGGGAGUCAAAUCCUACCAAAUCCAGACAAACUCCGAAUGCUAUGAAAUAUGAUCUGCAGUGAGGCGCGGGGUGCUAAGGUCACGCGCCGAGAGGGAAAGAACCCAGACCAUCAGCUAAGGUCCCCAAGUUACAGUUAAGUUGAACUAACGAGGUCCGAUUGCACAGACAGCUAGGAUGUUGGCUUGGAAGCAGCCAUUCAUUUAAAGAGUGCGUAACAGCUCACUAGUCGAGCGAUCGGGCAUGGAUAAUAAACGGGCAUUAAACUGUACACCGAAGCUAUGGGAUUGAAAUAUAUCGGUAGGGGAGCAUUCUAUGUGCAGCGAAGGUAUCUGGUAAUGGGUGCUGGAGCGCAUAGAAAAGCAAAUGUAGGCAUAAGUAACGAUAAGGCGGGCGAGAAACCCGCCCACCGAAAGGAUAAGGUUUCCUGAUCAACGCUAAUCGGAUCAGGGUUAGUCGGGACCUAAGGAGAACCCGAAGGGGAAAUUCGAUGGACAACGGAUUAAUAUUUCCGUACUUUUUAUAACUGCGAUGUGGGGACGGAGUAGUGACACUGCCGCGAUCUGACGGAAUAGAUCGUUAAAGGCUGUAGGUAUUGGACCGGUAGGCAAAUCCGCCGGACCAGCUGAACGCUGAUAGUACGACAAGGCUUCGGCUGAGUUGAUAGUGCAGGUAAUCAGACUUCCAAGAAAAACCGCUAAGCUUCAGGUUAUAAAAACCCGUACCGCAAACCGACACAGGUAUCCGGGAAGAGGAUUCUAAGGUGCUCGAGUGAAUCAUGGCUAAGGAACUCGGCAAAAUGGCCCUGUAACUUCGGGAGAAGGGGCGCUGGCAGCAAUGUCAGCCGCAGUGAAAAGGCCCAGGCGACUGUUUAACAAAAACACAUGGCUUUGCAAAAUCGAAAGAUGAAGUAUAAGGCCUGACACCUGCCCGGUGCUGGAAGGUUAAGAGGGGAUGUCAUCGUAAGAGAAGCAUUGAAUCGAAGCCCCAGUAAACGGCGGCCGUAACUAUAACGGUCCUAAGGUAGCGAAAUUCCUUGUCGGGUAAGUUCCGACCCGCACGAAAGGCGUAACGAUCUGGGCACUGUCUCAACGAGAGACUCGGUGAAAUUAUAAUACCCGUGAAGAUGCGGGUUACCCGCGACAGGACGGAAAGACCCCAUGGAGCUUUACUGUAGCUUGAUAUUGGGUGUUUGUACAACUUGUACAGGAUAGGUAGGAGCCGUAGAAGUCGGAACGCUAGUUUCGAUGGAGGCAUUGGUGGGAUACUACCCUCGUUGUAUGAACACUCUAACCCUCGCCGGCAAUCACGGCGGGAGACAGUGUCAGGUGGGCAGUUUGACUGGGGCGGUCGCCUCCUAAAAGGUAACGGAGGCGCCCAAAGGUUCCUUCAGAAUGGUUGGAAAUCAUUCGCAGAGUGUAAAGGCAUAA
rnacentral:rRNA from 2 species